AUUCCACACAGGAAGGUCACACCAUCCCCCACUGUUACAAGGGAGAAGAUCUGAUAGAUAUAAAAGUUAAGAUUAAAGAAGAGGAGACUUAUGUGAGCUAUGAUCAGCAGUCUAUGGAGGAGGAUGGAAUAAUAAGGCUAAUUCUAGAGGAAGACACUACUACAGAGAUCAGUACAGUAGAUGGACGGGAGAUGAGGAAAACCUCAGAGGAUU